rnacentral:rRNA from 1 species
GCCUACGGGAGGCAGCAGUGGGGAUAUUGCACAAUGGGGGAAACCCUGAUGCAGCGACGCCGCGUGGGUGAAGAAGCGCCUCGGCGCGUAAAGCCCUGUCAGCAGGGAAGAAAAUGACGGUACCUGAAGAAGAAGCCCCGGCUAGCUACGUGCCAGCAGCCGCGGUAAUACGUAGGGGGCAAGCGUUAUCCGGAUUUGCUGGGUGUAAAGGGGGCGCAGACGGCGAUGCAAGCCAGGAGUGAAAGCCCGGGGCCCAACCCCGGGACUGCUCUUGGAACUGCGUGGCUAGAGUGCAGGAGGGGCAG